AAUUUUGCUGAAAUUUUGUCUCGGACAUUAGACAGGCAGAUAUUGAUAGGUUUGUAUUAGAAAAAUU
rnacentral:sRNA from 1 species